rnacentral:rRNA from 1 species
UACGGGGGGAGCAAGCGUUGUUCGGAUUUACUGGGCGUAAAGGGCUCGUAGGUGGCCAACUAAGUCAGACGUGAAAUCCCUCGGCUUAACCGGGGAACUGCGUCUGAUACUGGAUGGCUUGAGAUUGGGAGAGGGAUGCGGAAUUCCAGGUGUAGCGGUGAAAUGCGUAGAUAUCUGGAGGAACACCGGUGGCGAAGGCGGCAUCCUGGACCAACACUGACACUGAGGAGCGAAAGCCAGGGGAGCAAACGGG